GAGAUACAGGUAAUAUUUGAUAUUGUAUUUUUGCAGCACAAUGGCCCAUCAUUUUACCAUUGAAUUAAAAAUUUCCUUAUUGUAUCUUGUAAUAAAAAUUUCCUUAUUUGAGUGUCAAGCAUGUAAUAUUGGUGAGGAAUGUGUAGGGAAAGCAUCAUGUCAAUGAAUGCAGUGGAAAAUUUCUGUUGAUUUUGUGUUUCUGUUGUAGUAAAUACUCCAUGAGUGCAAAACAAUCUUCCUUGGUUUUGGUUAAUAUUGGAGUUAAAAGGAUGGGUAUAUCAAAUUAAAAGUUACUUUGGCUAGUUUUUGUUAACAUUUUAAUUAGAUGUCGGAGUUGUUUUCAUUGUAUUAGUUUGUCAGAACCACCA
rnacentral:misc_RNA from 1 species